GAUGAACGCUGGCGGCGUGCCUAAUACAUGCAAGUCGAGCGAACAGAUAAGGAGCUUGCUCCUUUGACGUUAGCGGCGGACGGGUGAGUAACACGUGGGUAACCUACCUAUAAGACUGGAAUAACUCCGGGAAACCGGGGCUAAUGCCGGAUAACAUUUAGAACCGCAUGGUUCUAAAGUGAAAGAUGGUUUUGCUAUCACUUAUAGAUGGACCCGCGCCGUAUUAGCUAGUUGGUAAGGUAACGGCUUACCAAGGCAACGAUACGUAGCCGACCUGAGAGGGUGAUCGGCCACACUGGAACUGGAACACGGUCCAGACUCCUACGGGAGGCAGCAGUAGGGAAUCUUCCGCAAUGGGCGAAAGCCUGACGGAGAAACGCCGCGUGAGUGAUGAAGGUCUUCGGAUCGUAAAACUCUGUUAUUAGGGAAGAACAAAUGUGUAAGUAACUGUGCACGUCUUGACGGUACCUAAUCAGAAAGCCACGGCUAACUACGUG
rnacentral:rRNA from 1 species